CCUACGGGAGGCAGCAGUAGGGAAUCUUUCACAAUGGGCGAAAGCCUGAUGGAGCAACGCCGCGGGCAGGAUGAAGGCCUUCGGGUUGUAAACUGCUUUUAUAAGCGAGCAAUAUGAUGGUAACUUAUGAAUAAGGAUCGGCUAACUACGUGCCAGCAGCCGCGGUCAUACGUAGGAUCCGAGCAUUAUCCGGAGUGACUGGGUGUAAAGAGUUGCGUAGGUGGCAUAAUAAGUAGCUAGUGAAAUCUGGUGGCUCAACCAUUCAGACUAUUAGCUAAACUGUUAAGCUCGAGACCGUUAGGGGUAACUGGAAUUUCUAGUGUAGGAGUGAAAUCCGUAGAUAUUAGAAGGAACACCAAUAGCGUAGGCAGGUUGCUGGGACGGUUCUGACACUAAGGCACGAAAGCGUAGGGAGCAAACGGGAUUAGAUACCCGGGUAGUC
rnacentral:rRNA from 1 species